rnacentral:lncRNA from 1 species
GGCCAGGGAGAGAAAGAGAGAAGGAAAAAGAGGGAGGCAGCAAUACGUCUAUGGGAGAGAGGGAGAGAGGAGGCUUGGGUCAGCUGAGAGAAACUGUUAGAGCUGUAGAACUGUACCAGAGCUGUUUCAGACGGACAUUGCAGCGUCAUUCACUGAAGCAGUACAGUAUUAGGAAUCAUAAACAGUACACUGGCUAACUUGACCUGGGAUGACACUGAACCCACACACACGCAUGCACACUUAAAGUAGAACGCACAUCUAUAGACUUACACACAGACAGGUAAAGGCCCAGUCCCCUUGGAGGGGUAUCGGCCCUGUCAACAUGGGGAGCUCUCAGUCCCAACAGAAGAAGAGGGGAGGGGCAGCAAACUCAACCAAGAGGAAGACAAGUAACAUUUCAGACUCAGAGGGCCACUUUGAAACCCCAGAGGCUCAGAGCCCUGUCCAUGCUCCACUCCAAGUCCCAGAAGAGCUGGAGACCUUCACCACUGACAGAGCAGAUGCCCUGGAGGAGGAGGAUGAACAGCUGAUAGUGUCUGGCCCAGCCAGAGAUCCAGCUCCUAGCCUCCUAUUUAACCAGAACAUGGGUCAGGCCAAGCCCCCCUUGGUCCCUGAGGAGGAGGCCCCUGUGGACUCUAAGGAGGGGCCACAAACACUGCCCAACACCACAGACACUGCAGAGGUUCAGCCCGCAAUAGCAGGCCCAUCAGCCCAGACCAAUGGAGCAGCAAAGGCCACUGCUUCUCUAGACUUAGGUCUACCUGAGGAGGAUAGACCACUGGCUACUUCACUAGACUUAGGCCUACCCGAGGAGGAUAGACCACUGGCUACUUCUCUAGACUUAGGCUUAACUGAGGAGGAUAGACCACUGGCUACUUCUCUAGACUUAGGCCUAACUAAGGAGGCUAGCAUUACUAAGACGCUUUGUAAUGGACACCCCAUAGAGACCAUCCCUGAACCUCAAGCCAAACCCACUAAAACCACACCCCCUUCCCUGAAGAUAAAGGGAGCUUUUUCCAGGGCUAGUGCACAGAGGGAUGGGGACAGUGAUAUCACCCUAGUCCCUAAGGCUAGCUACAACUUCAACCCGGACCAAUUCGACGGCAGCUUCAAUCCGUUCGCCAGUGGCGGCUCCAAGAUUCAAAACUCCCCGCCAAGCGAUGCCCUGCCCACAAUGGAGUCGCUACCUGUACCUAGCUCCCUGCCCACAAUGGAGUCGCUACCUGUACCUAGCUCCCUGCCCACAAUGGAGUCGCUACCUGUACCUAGCUCCCUGCCCACAAUGGAGUCGCUACCUGUACCUAGCUCCCUGCCCACAAUGGAGUCGCUACCUGUACCUAGCUCCCUGCCCACAAUGGAGUCGCUAACUGUACCUAGCUCCCUGCCCACACUGGGGUCGUUACCUGUACCUAGCUCCCUGCCCACACUGGGGUCGCUACCUGUACUUAGCUCCCUGCCCACACUGGGGUCGCUACCUGUGCCUAGCUCCCUGCCCACACUGGGGUCGUUACCUGUACCUAGCUCCCUGCUCACACUGGGGUCGCUACCUGUACCUAGCUCCCUGCCCACAAUGGAGUCGCUACCUGUACCUAGCUCCCUAACCACACUGGGGUCGCUACCUGUACCUAGCUCCCUGCCCACACUGGGGUCGUUACCUGUACCUAGCUCCCUGCCCACACUGGGGUCACUACCUGUACCUAGCUCCCUGCCCACACUGGGGUCGCUACCUGUACCUAGCUCCCUGCCCACACUGGGGUCGUUACCUGUAUGCAGCUCUUCUCCACCUCUUUGUGGGACUAGUUCCUCACCUAAAAUGGAUGUUGAGGAGGUCAAAGAUUCAGCGUCGGAGGCAUCAGAGGAGCCCAAGCCUGUGGAGAUAGAGUUUGGGUUAGACGAGGCAGGUGAGGUAAAAAAAAACACCGCCCAGGAGGAUGGGUAAAACGCCCGGCAGUAAGCUCGCUGUCAAGAAACCAAGGGCAAAAGCAACGACAACAGCACCUGCCCCGACGCCGGCACCCGAACCAGUAAUAGCUCACCCGGUAGUAGAGCCGGUUUCAGAAACGACUUCCGAACCACUUUCCAUGCCAGGUCCCUCCUUAAGUUUGGACGACGUUCCUAUUCCCAAAUCCACUUAUACAUUUGACCCCAACCAGUGGGAAGACCCUAAUUUGAUCCCCUUUUGGGGUGGUGGUGUCAAAAUAAGUAGUUCCCCGGUUUUGCCCAAAGGAUCCUACAGCUUUGAUCCUCACAACUUUGACAACUAUGUGGACCCCUUUAAGCCAUCUACAGCCCUGGGCUGCGGGAACUCAACCUCCCGGGAUACCCCACUUCCUCCGCCAGCAGAGGAAGCAGUGAAACCAAAGCUGGAGCGGCCCCUGGAUGAGGGGAAGAGAAUGUGUCAGACUCCAAAGAAAAGCAAGGACAGGAUCAUCAC